UACGUAGGGUGCAAGCGUUACUCGGAAUUACUGGGCGUAAAGCGUGCGCAGGCGGUGAUGUAAGACAGGUGUGAAAUCCCCGGGCUUAACCUGGGAACUGCAUUUGUGACUGCAUCGCUGGAGUGCGGCAGAGGGGGAUGGAAUUCCGCGUGUAGCAGUGAAAUGCGUAGAUAUGCGGAGGAACAUCGAUGGCGAAGGCAAUCCCCUGGGCCUGCACUGACGCUCAUGCACGAAAGCGUGGGGAGCAAACAGG
rnacentral:rRNA from 1 species